AAUAUACUCCCUCCGUCCGGAAAUACUUGUCCUAAAAAUGAAUAUAAUGAAUGUAUCUAUAACUAAAAUAAAUCUAGAUACAUUCAUCUCUAGGACAAGUAUUUCCAAACGAAGGAAGUAAUAC
rnacentral:pre_miRNA from 1 species